CCGGGGGCGGGGAGAGGGGCGGGGCUUUCCGCCGAAAGGGGGCGGGGCGCGCGGAGGAGGCGGGGCGAGCGCAGGGGAGGCUGGCGAGCAGAGAGUGCCCUUGUGUCGCCAGCCGGCGAGCGGCUGGGAGCGAGCAGCCGCCCCGCGCCGCCAGCGGGACGGGACGGGACAGCACGGCACGGGACAGCACGGCGCGGGGCGGGACAGGCCGGGCCGCAGGGACAGCCGGACCGACCCGCCGGUAGGGGCGAGGGGAGCCAGCGGGGGCAGCCGGCACCGCUCGGUGGAGGGAAGCAGCCCGGCGGCGGCAGAGCCGGCGGGGAGAGCUGCUCCCCCCACUUCCCUCCCCAAUCCACCCCCGCGACCCCGGCCCUCCUCCUCCUCCUCCUCCUCACCCCACUGGAUACAGCGAGGGAGACACUGCGGCGGCGGAGGCGGCGGCGGCGGCUCCUGCGGGGGGAAGGAAGCGCCCGGAGAGCGGAGCGGCGGGAGGCUGCGGAUCUGCGUGCCUGGCGCCCACCCAGCCCGAGGGGAGCCCCCAGGAUGCGGCUCAAGCCCGGCGCGCUCCUGCGCUUCUACAGCCUCUGCGGGAUCCUCAUGCAAGUGUCCAAAGUGCUCUCAUUACCUGGAUUACAGAGUCAUAAAAUCAGUAAGAAAAUGCCAGGUUUCUCACUAUAAUCAGACUACAUCAAGAUGCCAGCUAGGGCACUGA
rnacentral:lncRNA from 1 species